rnacentral:lncRNA from 1 species
CGCUGGUGGAAGACGGAGGAAUGCUUGAGGGAACGUUUAUUGCAUGCUGAAUCCAGAGCUGGAAACCAGGUUUGAGCCAAUCUAGGCACGGGCUCCCUGAGCAGGGCACCCUCUGUCUCUCCACCUGAUGGGUUGAUUAGACUCACAGAGAAAGGACCGUCUUACACCUGGAAAAUCAAAAGCCAGGGGCAGCCUGAAGACACGCUGGUCAUGCCAGUACUCUAGGGGCUAGGAUUGCUGUCUCAUGACGGUGCUUGGCCCGAGAAAGCACAUGGAGAGUUUUUCGUCAAGAAGUGUUACCUCUUUUAUGGAGAUGCUCACAGACUGGGCAUUUCACUGUCCCCUGUCCCUGAGACACAGAUUCUUUUUCUGAAAUCUGGUCAAAAUAAACUGGCGAUGUUGCUGCAGCCAAGCUGGCUUACUCUGGGCAGUGCCUUUUUUCUCACG